rnacentral:misc_RNA from 1 species
UAAACCCCUAAGCAAAAAAUCUCUCCCGCCAUGAACACACUAUCGUCCAUCCGCAGCACUCCUCCCAUAGCUCAUCCCUUUUCCUUCAAGCCCUCCUCGUUUCCCCAACUCCACACGCUCUCCCAAACCCUAGGAUUCUGCUCUCCCAAGACAAUCUUUUUACCCUUAUACUCAACUCGAUUUCGACGCUCCUUCAAGUCCCCAUACUCCCCAUUCCCCGCGGAAUCUCAGCUAUCUGAUGUCGACGAGGAAGAAGAAGAAGAAGACGACGGCGACGACGACGACGACGAAGACGAAGCUGCCGAUGAAUAUGACGACAUUCCCGUGGAGGUUUCUGACGGAAUCGAACAAAGUGAAGAUGAAACCGAAAUGUCGAUGGAUGCGAGAGAAGAAGUGUUAGCUUGGCGCAAGGAAACCAAGUCGCAGAGAGUUGAGAAGAUCCGUAAUGAAGUCAAAGAGUUUGGAAAUGACAUAAUAGAUGUUGAUGAACUCGCCUCCAUUUACGAUUUCCGUAUUGACAAAUUUCAGCGACUGGCGAUAAAAGCAUUCUUGAAUGGUUCUUCCGUAGUGGUUUCGGCGCCAACAAGCAGUGGAAAGACAUUGAUAGCUGAAGCUGCAGCCGUUGCCACUGUAGCUCGAGGAAGGAGAAUAUUCUAUACCACUCCGCUUAAGGCAUUAUCGAAUCAAAAGUUUCGUGAUUUUCGGGAGACGUUUGGGGAGGACAAUGUUGGUCUUCUCACUGGAGAUUCUGCCGUCAAUAAAGAUGCCCAAGUUUUGAUAAUGACCACUGAGAUUUUGCGCAACAUGUUAUAUCAGAGUGGCAAUUUCCAAACUUCUCUUCUGAUCCCUGUAGUUUUCUUAACAUUUAAGUUGAUAUUUGAAUCAAGUAUGGACAUGGUGGUUAACCUUCUCAUGCAGCAUUGGAAUGGUUUCCUCUGGGAGUGGGCUUUUCCAGGUGGAUGUGAUUGUUUUGGAUGAAGUUCAUUUUCUAAGUGACAUAUCUCGGGGUACAGUGUGGGAGGAGAUAGUUAUUUAUUGCCCCAAGGAGCUUCAACUAAUAUGUCUGUCAGCAACAGUAAAGAAUCCAAAUGAACUGGCUGGCUGGAUUAAUGAGGUUCAUGGUAAAACUGAAUUGGUGACAUCAUCAAAGCGUCCAGUUCCAUUGACUUGGCACUUCUCCACAAAGACUGCUUUGUAUCCUCUUCUUGAUGAGAAAAGAAAGAACAUGAAUAGGAAGCUGUCACUUAAUUAUUUACAACUUUCUGCUUCAGGAGUUAAAUCUUUCAAGGAUGAUGGGCCCAGAAGGAGAAAUUCAAGAAAACAUGGGAAUGACAGAGAAAUGAAUAAUAUUGGUAAUAUGUCUGGAGAACCUCUCUCAAAGAACAACAUAGGAAGAAUCCGCCGUUCUCUGGUGCCUCUAGUAAUUGAUACAUUAACACAGCUUAAGGUAAAGGAUAUGCUGCCAGCAAUUUGGUUUAUUUUUAAUAGGAGAGGAUGUGAUGCAGCUGUGCAGUACCUUGAAGGUUGCAAACUCUUAGAUGAGUGUGAGACGAGUGAGGUUGAACUGGCUUUGAAGAGGUUCAGCAUUCAGAAUCCUGAUGCUGUCAGGGAGACUUCUGUCAAAGGACUUUUGAAUGGGGUUGCUGCACAUCAUGCUGGCUGCCUUCCUGUAUGGAAAUCAUUUACUGAGGAACUGUUUCAAAGAGGACUCAUUAAAGUUGUGUUUGCCACAGAAACGCUAGCUGCUGGGAUCAACAUGCCUGCUAGAACAGCUGUUAUAUCAUCUCUCAGCAAGAGAAGUGGUAGUGGACGAAUCCAGUUAAGCCCCAAUGAACUGCUUCAAAUGGCUGGGCGAGCUGGACGUAGAGGUAUCGAUAAAAGGGGCCAUGUUGUACUGGUUCAGACUCCUAAUGAUGGUGCUGAAGAGUGCUGCAAACUUCUGUUUGCCGGACUAGAACCUCUUGU